GUACUCGCUUCCACAGCACAUAACACUAAAAGUGAGAUGACACAGAGAAGGUUAGCAUGGCCCCUGUGCAAGGAUGACAUGCAAACGUGAAAUAUGAAACGUUCCA